GGAACCAAAACCACUGCAGGCAUCAAUAUGGAGAACCAUGUAAGUGCAAGUGAUUCAAAGACUAAAACCCUGACCACUAAAAGUAGUGCCAGUGCAAUAAAAGCACAAAAAGGAGUUAAGAAGACAUUACACAUAAAAUCUUCCUGUCGAGAGCCAACGCGUUUCCAGCUGUGACUUGUCAGAGGAAGUGAUCAACGGCCGAGAUGUUGUCUCGUCCUCGCGGCUGACGUGGGCCCCAGGCGAGCCUUCAAAGCGACCUGGAGGUGAUGAGACGUGACGGACGACUGGAGCUAGUUGCAGCCAGACCACCUGCAGAUUGAUGGAUUCCAACGGCAGAAGGCCUGCAACACAACACAAACAUGUGAAUGGUUCCUGAACGCACCAUAGAGCUGCAGCACUCCGUCCAAUCAACAUCACGGGUCCUUCCUCUUGUGUCACCAGUCGGACGUCAUCCCUGACCCUUGAUUGUUUCCACCUGUUUCCCAUUACCCUCAUGUUCCAUAUAAGCCCAUGCCUCCCCUUGUUCUGUGCCAGAUUGUCUCGAGCUUUCGUGCCUGUCUAGCUUCCAUGUUCAUGUCCAUGCCUUGCGUCGUCCCACGUCUACUUCCUGGUAUCCAGUAUUUCCCACGCUGUAAUUUGGAGUUAACUUUUUCUCCUCCCUCAGAGCGACUUUUGUUAUCUAGCCUUUUUUCAACCGCAGUGGUGAGUUAUGAUGUUUUGCUUAUGAUCUUCCUUCCUCAAAAGUUUUUGAGUGAUUUUUUUGUUUACAUUUAUUAGAAUAAGAUUAGGGUAGUUAUUUUUAUAGUCAUUAUUUUCUUCCUCCAGUUGGAGCGUUUUUUGUUAAAGUUUUUGAUAGCAGAUACGGUGCAAAUUAUAAUUCGUCUUUAUUUUUGUAUUUCCUCCUUUUUGAGUGAUUUUCGGUUUUUCCCUUUUUGGAAUCUUUUUUCGCUGUCUAUUUUUGUGACUCAUAGUAUUUUGAAUAUACUCUGCUCGGGAGGUUUAAAGAGUUUUCAAAAUAAAAGCUUUAUUUAGAAUCCCAUCUCUGCAUCUGAGUCCCUUCCUUCGUCCAAGCCUGACAAUUAU